rnacentral:rRNA from 1 species
GAGUUUGAUCCUGGCUCAGGACGAACGCUGGCGGCGUGCCUAACACAUGCAAGUCGAACGGGACCGGGGGCAACUCCGGUUCAGUGGCGAACGGGUGCGUGACACGUGAGCAACCUGCCCGACGGUGGGGGAUAGCCGGCCUAACGGCCGGGUAGUACCGCAUGACACCCCGGGGUCGCAUGACCCUGGGGUCAAAGCCGCAAGGCGCCGACGGAGGGGCUCGCGACCUAUCAGCUAGUUGGUGGGGUAACGGCCUACCAAGGCUACGACGGGUAGCUGGUCUGAGAGGAUGGCCAGCCACAUUGGGACUGAGAUACGGCCCAGACUCCUACGGGAGGCAGCAGUGGGGAAUAUUGCGCAAUGGCCGCAAGGCUGACGCAGCGACGCCGCGUGUGGGAUGAAGGCCUUCGGGUUGUAAACCACUGUUGGGGGGGACGAAUGCCCCGCAAGGGGAUUGACGGUACCUCCAGAGGAAGCACCGGCUAACUCCGUGCCAGCAGCCGCGGUAAUACGGAGGGUGCAAGCGUUGUCCGGAAUCACUGGGCGUAAAGGGCGCGUAGGCGGCUCGAUAAGUCGGUUGUGAAAUCCCGGGGCUCAACUCCGGGGCUGCAUCCGAGACUGUCAGGCUCGAGCAUGGUAGAGGCGAGUGGAAUUCCCGGUGUAGCGGUGGAAUGCGUAGAGAUCGGGAAGAACACCAGUGGCGAAGGCGGCUCGCUGGGCCCAAUGCUGACGCUGAGGCGCGAAAGCGUGGGGAGCAAACAGGAUUAGAUACCCUGGUAGUCCACGCCGUAAACGAUGGGCACUAGGCGCCGGGGGGAGCGACCCUCUCGGUGCCGUCGCUAACGCAGUAAGUGCCCCGCCUGGGGAGUACGGACGCAAGACUGAAACUCAAAGGAAUUGACGGGGSCCSSCACAAGCGGUGGAGCAUGUGGUUUAAUUCGAGGCAACGCGAAGAACCUUACCUGGGCUUGACAUGCACGUGUAAGCCGGUGGAAACAUCGGCCCCUCUUCGGAGCACGUGCACAGGUGCUGCAUGGCUGUCGUCAGCUCGUGUCGUGAGAUGUUGGGUUAAGUCCCGCAACGAGCGCAACCCUCGCUCUUAGUUGCCAGCAUUAAGUUGGGGACUCUAAGGAGACUGCCGGUGACAAACCGGAGGAAGGUGGGGAUGACGUCAAGUCAGCAUGCCCCUUACGUCUUGGGCGACACACGUACUACAAUGGUCGGGACAAAGGGCAGCGAACUCGCGAGAGCCAGCGAAUCCCAGCAAACCCGGCCUCAGUUCAGAUUGCAGGCUGCAACUCGCCUGCAUGAGGGAGGAAUCGCUAGUAAUCGCCGGUCAGCAUACGGCGGUGAAUUCGUUCCCGGGCCUUGUACACACCGCCCGUC